CGGACGGCUCGAAUCUCCCCUCUCUCCCUCUCGUGCACUAACUAAGGCCGAAGCCUCCAUCUCACGCCCAGCCCCCCCGUUAGUUCGCAGAGCCCAGAGAAGCCAAGGCACGAAACUCCUUCUCUAUUCCGACCUCCCUCUCUCGUUCUCUCCCGGUUCGUGAGAAGCCCAGGCGAACCCUUCUCUAGGUUCGCAAGGCAGCCACCCGGAUCCCCUCUUCUCCCGUCUCCUCUGGGUUCAGACAAGACCCGACACCGAGCCCCCUGGCUCUGCCGGAUUCGCAUGCCCAGAGUCAGACCCGACGAUCCGGCUCCGCCUCCCCAGCCGAGCCCGAGUUCCCGCCGCCUGCUCUCCCUCCGACCCGACGCCAAGGCCGAUACCUUAAAUUCCCGUCGCUCCUCCCAUGCUAGAGCCGAUGACCUCCUGCUUCUUCGUCUCUUACCCUAACCGAGCCCAACGCCAAGUCCCGACGACGAUUUAGGCAUGUAUACCUCUUUCAUUUACUCUUCUUCUUCUUCUCCUACAUUCUCUUAUACUCAGCCUAUUUCUUCAAAAAGAGAGCAUUAUAGAUCGAAGUUUUAGAUCUAUUUUACUUUGAUCUUUUGUCUGGAGAUGAGAUGAUGGUGACUUAUAAUUUCAUUUCUUUCCUAUAUGCUCAUUGAAUGAUUUCUCUAAUUUUUGCUACAUAAAUAUGAGUCUCUUUCUUGUUCACGAUCAUGUCCAUGCUUUAGAUGUUAUAUGGAUGCCCAUGGUGUGGGUUGAAUAAAAUUUGGUUAUCUUCCUCUGUUAUUGUUUGCGGUGAGAUGACUAUAGUUGAGAUAUGGUUUCUUUUUGUAGAGGUAAAAAAAAGAGAUUUAUAUACUCUCUCGCAGCGGUGUUAAAGAGAAGUUGUUGGUGCUAUUGGAAUUGCAUUGGUUUUAUAAUAUGUGUUGAAGGAUGAUUUAUAUUUUGAUGCAUACUACAUUCACAUAUGAGAAAAUUUCAAUAACCCUUCCAGACAUUGACAAUGUUAGUGGUUAUAUAAUUUGGAAAGAAGUGAUGACUAUCCGUAAGUCUUUCAUAAAGUAUUUUUGGAGAAAUGUCGGAGAGUGUUGUGCUUAUUCCUACACUUUUGGUGGGCAUGCAUAAGUUUAGAGGUGUUAGGGAAUGUUCAUGAUCUUCAAAUAUGAGUUUUUUUUAUAGCUUUAAGCGUAGUUUUACUCUUUGUUGGUGGAAGUAUCUCCUUGAAUUUCGAAAAGAGAUGAAAUGGCCUUGAGUUACACUUCUACUUCCAAUUUCACUUGGAGGAUAGCGAUAGGAUGGAAUAUAAACGUUUUCUAGGUUCGUCUUUACUCAUUGGAGCCUUAUAUGAAAAGCAUGUGGGCAAUUACAUGAUAAUACCUCUUUUGUUGAAUUUUGAGAGAAUAAAUUUGUAUCAAAACUUCUUUUUCACAAUUGCAUUUUGGCUGAAGUUUAAUGUCAAAUAAGUUGUUUGUUUACUACUUGAUUCGGAAAGGCAUGGCUUUGAGUUUUCGCUCUAAAAAUAUACAUAGUUUUCAUCUAUCUCAUUAUGUUAAAAUAAUUUCAUGAGUUACUUUUGAGAUGGAAAUUCUAUGACUUGUUUUAUGCCAAAAAUCCUAUUAAGUUCUCUUAUGGUUGGAGAGUUUUGUAGAGUACGCCAUGUUGGAGAGUAUCUUUUGGGUUUAGAUAUUGGAAGGCACCCAUCGGUUUUAUGUUUUGUAUGAAAGUUGUAUGUACGAAUUUAAUGCAAUGACGCUAUCAAACUUCAUCUUUUGGUGAGUUUCAUAAGUGUUUAAGGAGAAAAUUUGGAAGUAGUUGCAAAACCUAUUGUGUACGUUUGUGACCCAUUGGAAUGAAAAUGAAGGUGGAAUAGUUUAUGAUGUCUCAUGUGGUGAUUGGAGAAAUGAAAACGAAAAUAAUAUUUUGCAUCAAGGGGAAGUUGUUGGAAAGUGAUUCAUAUUGUGAUUGGGGCAUUGUUUUUUUUAACAUUUUAGAGAAGUGGAUUAGCUCCAAAAUCUCUCUCUUCUUAUUUGUAUUUGGUUCAAGAAGUGUUGAAAUAAAAUGGCGAGAUUUCUCUGUGCUCUCUUGGAUGUCUGGUGGCAUGUAACAUAAAAAAUAAGAAUUUGUCAAGGGAUUUCAUGAAUCAUUUUGUGACUUAAAGGCUUCUAUGAUUUAUGUUACAUUAAAAGAUUUGUGACUUCGCUUCAUGUUAGCUGUUUUUCUAGGAUAUUAUAAAGAGUGACAUAGUAUCUAGCUUUCUUCCUUAUGAUUACAAGUUAAAUUGAAAUAUUUGUUCAUCACUUGAUUUUGGAAAAGUAUAACUUUAUUCUUCUUCUUUUUUUAAUGUAUAUUACUUAAUGGUCACAACCAUGGUAGAUUUGAGAAAGACAAUUUUGGCAUGCGCUUCAUGUAGUGUAUUAUAUUGUUGUCUUUGUGACUUCAUUAGUAUAAGCAUUCCUCUGGUUCUCUUUUCUGUAUAUAUACUUGGGUGCUUUCUUACUAAAUUGGUUAUAUGAAUCGUGAAAGUUUAUGUAUGUAAAUUAUUGAUGAGUUCGCAUCAUAUGAAAGUUUUAUGGGUUGCCCAAUGUUGGGAAAGACUUUGGUUUUCUUAUGUUAAAAGAUUUAUGAUUGGCUUUAGACUUGUUUUAUAUUGGAAAGAUUUAUGAUUUGUUUUAUAUCAUGAAGACUUGUGAUUUGCUUCAUAAUUGGAAAUAUUUAUAAAUGGCUUUAUGUUAAAGUUUCAUUAAUUGUCUUGCGUUGAGAAAUUUUGUGAUUUUGUUUCGUGAAAGUCUCUUGAUGGAGGGCAUUAUAAUGCCUAUUCAUUGAGGAACUUCCACAUGUUAACCUCACGCCAAACUUGAAAAGCACUUGAUUGAUUUUGUGUCAAAAGGAGUUUUGGUGUUUUGGUUUCUUUUCGUUAAGGGGCUUUAUGUCUUAUUUCAUUUUUUUUAGAGAAGUUUCAUAAGAUAUUUCUUUGGGGUCGAGAGCUUAGUGAGGUGGAUUUUUGUUAGAAAUUUCUCUAGAUCUUUCUUUUUGGGAUGAAAUGAUUUAUCUUGCAUAAGUUAUCUUUUUUUUUUUUCAUUAGUGUUUGCCUCUAAAAUGUAAGGUUGGAAGAACGUGGGGGAUAGAAAGAGAUAUUGUUUUAGUUCUAGUUUUAGGAAUUGGAAUUUCCCCUGUUGCCUUGAGUUUGUUUUUGAGAAUAGUUUGUGUAGUCGAGUCGGGUACGUAUCAAGUGUUGAGUUGGGAUUGUGGGAACAGUAAAGGGCAUUGUAAAUGCCUUCCUUCCCAUUCAUAUUAUAUCGAAUCGGGGAGGAGACUAUUUUAAAGACACACUUGGCUUCAAAGAAGUAUGUUUAAAACAACAAUACCUAUAUUCCUUUUCUUUCUGAUUUUUAUUCUUUUCUUUCUAUCGUGUUUUCUCAUUCUUUUUCUUUACUUCUUGCUUUCCUACUAUUUUGUUACUUAGUAUCGUAUUUUCAUGCGUAAAUCCCUAAACAUAGUGACACAUGUACGAAAGUCCUAAGGGUUAGAAAACAAAACCUCUUUUAAUCCUACGACUUUAGUGACACUUAAGGACAAAAAUUAAGGAUCGAGUCUUAGAAAACAUAGACUUUAGGGUGCAUGCUCCUUAUAUGAUAGAGACAUUAAAACAAAAACUUAGUGACACGCUUUCCUAGGUUUAGUUCUUCUUAAUCCGCUAAUAAUCAACUAACCAUCUAAUCAGUGUUAUAUGUUCUAUAAUUGCAAACUUUAAAUUUCCUGCCAGUUAUAUUCUUUUAUAUUUACCUACAUUUCUUUUCUGAAUGGCAUCUACGCUCAUAUAUCUAUUUUUCUGUUAUCUUAUUUUGUGAGGUACAUCGGAGCUUAAUGAUCGAGGAGCGAGCGACACCAUUUGCUUAUAAGCUUUUAAGUGGCAGCGCCAUAUACAGUCAGGUCCUAAAUUUUUUGGGAGAUCACAAACAUAUGUUAAAAAACCAAAAAGAGUUCCUUCUACUCACAGCUUGUUGUGCUACUUAUUAUUUUUGGAGGGAAAGGAAUGAAAGAAGGUUCAAUUUUAAAUUUAGAAGUACAUCCUCUCAUUGCUCGGACAUUAAAUCUGCUGUUGAUGCCAAGAUUUCAACCUGGAAGCACUCAGAAAAUCUGAGAAUUCCAUGGCAUGUUUGACGGAACUGUAGUAUUUUCUGUUUUUGGGUAAUUCACUUCGAAUGUUGUCACAGCAGUUUGAAGGUUUCUUUUGGGUUGUUGCUACUAUAGUAAUUUCGCUGAUUUUGUCUUGGUUGGGUUGGACUGCUGUGUUGGAGGGGUGGUUAUUUGGUUUGCCUUCUUGGCUGGCUGGAACUCUUUCUCUGGUCUCGUCCAUGAUAUUGAUGCAGUCCUGUGGUCGGCUGUCUGUUUGCAAUCGGGGACUGUCUUCAUCGGUGGAUUUUUGUUCAAGUACGAUGAUGUAGCUGCUAAUCAUCUCCUUGAAGGGCCCUUUUUUUGGGCAACCAGGAGAUUUUCUUUCGUGGUUGCCAGUUUUCUCUGCUCGUCAAUGCGAUUAUCAGUCUGAGUCCUUCGGAUGCUCUCGCAUCUCUUUUGGAUGGCUGUCCCAAUUUUAUUUGUUAUAUCUGGUUUCCUUUUGUUUCAUUAGGGGUAUAGGUUUUUGGUUUCACCUCACUUGUUAGAGGUUUAAACUUUUUUGUUAUACCUUACUUUUAACCUUUUUUUACAUAGUAAUAUAUGGGCUUUUACUCUCAUUUUCCCAAAAAAAAAA